rnacentral:rRNA from 1 species
UACGGGAGGCAGCAGGGGGAAUAUUGCACAAUGGGCGCAAGCCUGAUGCAGCCAUGCCGCGUGUAUGAAAAAGGCCUUCGGGUUGUAAAGUAUUUUCAGUCGUGAGGAAGGUGUUAAGGUUAAUAACCUUAGCAAUUGACGUUAGCGACAGAAGAAGCACCGGCUAACUCCGUGCCAGCAGCCGCGGUAAUACGGAGGGUGCGAGCGUUAAUCGGAAUUACUGGGCGUAAAGGGCACGCAGGCGGUUAAUUAAGUUGGAUGUGAAAUCCCCGGGCUUAACCUGGGAAUGGCAUUCAAGACUGGUUAGCUAGAGUCUUGUAGAGGGGGUAGAAUUCCAUGUGUAGCGGUGAAUGCGUAGAGAUGUGGAGGAAUACCGGUGGCGAAGGCGGCCCCUGGACAAAGACUGACGCUCAUGUGCGAAAGCGUGGGGAGCAAACGAGGGAUUAGAUACC